AGCGAUGAAACUUUAACAGAACCCUUCGGGGCGAAGAUAAAGUGGAUUAGCGGCGGACGGGUGAGUAACACGUGAGUAACCUGCCUUAGACAUUGGGAUAGCCUCGGGAAACCGGGAUUAAUACCAAAUAAAAUCAUAAUGACACAUGUCAUAACGAUCAAAACUCCGGUGGUCUAAGAUGGACUCGCGUCCCAUUAGCUAGUUGGUAGAGUAAAAGCCUACCAAGGCGACGAUGGGUAGCCGGCCUGAGAGGGUGAACGGCCACAUUGGAACUGAGAAACGGUCCAAACUCCUACGGGAGGCAGCAGUGGGGAAUAUUGCACAAUGGAGGGAACUCUGAUGCAGCGACGCCGCGUGAACGAAGAAGGCUUUCGAGUCGUAAAGUUCUUUUAUAUGGGAAGAUAAUGACGGUACCAUAAGAAAAAGCCCCGGCUAACUAC
rnacentral:rRNA from 1 species